rnacentral:rRNA from 1 species
UACGGAGGGGGCUAGCGUUGUUCGGAAUUAUUGGGCGUAAAGAGCUCGUAGGCGGUCUGUCACGUCGGAUGUGAAAACUCGGGGCUCAACCCCGAGCCUGCAUACGAUACGGGCAGACUUGAGUUCGGCAGGGGAGACUGGAAUUCCUGGUGUAGCGGUGAAAUGCGCAGAUAUCAGGAGGAACACCGGUGGCGAAGGCGGGUCUCUGGGCCGAUACUGACGCUGAGGCGCGAAGGCGUGGGGAGCGAACGGG